GGACGAACGCUGGCGGCACGCUUAACACAUGCAAGUCGAACGGAGAAUUUUGGUUACUGAGAAUUCUAGUGGCGGACGGGUGAGUAACACGUGAGCAACCUGCCUCUGAGAGAGGGAUAGCUUCUGGAAACGGAUGGUAAUACCUCAUAAUAUAAUUGAACCGCAUGAUUUGAUUAUCAAAGAUUUAUCACUCAGAGAUGGGCUCGCGUCUGAUUAGAUAGUUGGUGAGGUAACGGCUCACCCAAGUCGACGAUCAGUAGCCGGACUGAGAGGUUGAACGGCCACAUUGGGACUGAGACACGGCCCAGACUCCUACGGGAGGCAGCAGUGGGGAAUAUUGCACAAUGGGGGAAACCCUGAUGCAGCGAUGCCGCGUGGAGGAAGAAGGUUUUCGGAUUGUAAACUCCUGUCUUAAAGGACGAUAAUGACGGUACUUUAGGAGGAAGCUCCGGCUAACUACGUGCCAGCCGCGGC
rnacentral:rRNA from 1 species